rnacentral:lncRNA from 1 species
AAAAAGUUGUAUUUUAAGAUGGUAUAGGUAAAUUGUCUGUGUCAGCGUGUGAGUUGAUUUAUUAAUUAGUUUUUUGAAACUAUCGGCUAACUCCGUGCAAGCAACCGCGGUAAUACAAAGGAUGCAAGCGUUAUCCGAAAUGAUUGGGCGUAAAGCAUCUAUAGGUGGCUUUUUAAGUCCGCCGUCAAAUCCCAGGGCUCAACUCUGGACAGGCGGUGAAAUGCGCAGGGAUCGGAAAGAACACCAACGGCGAAAGCACUCAGUUGGGCCGACACUGACACUGAGAGGCAAAAGCUAGGGGAGCAAAUGGGAUUAGAUACCCCAGUAGUCCUAGGCGUAAAUGAUGGAUACUAGGCGCUGUGUGUAUCGAUCCGUGCAGUGUUAUAACUAACGCGCUAAGUAUCCCCCGGAUAAUCUCUAUU